GCCAUGGUGCUUCUCAGCACCACCUCACUCAUUAAAGCCAGUCCUAG
rfam:Ailuropoda melanoleuca scaffold2539_33, whole genome shotgun sequence.